AAUUGUGGUAGUUUUCUUCCUGGCAUAUUUGUUAAGUUUCCAAAUAGGCCUGACUCUGCCACAUAUAUUGUAUAGGAGCUGGCAAGGUUGGAGCACAGAACACAUUCUCUAGUCUUUCCCAUGUCCGGUUUAGCUCACACAGAC